GAAGCAGUGAACCUCGAGAACGAACCGAGUCCCAGAUUGGCCAGGCGGAGGUCCCACGCUGGCGUCACCACUCGAGGGACGAGGCGCCGCGCGGUCAUCACCUCAGUAAUUGAACACCUGUGUCAUUAGUUUGUGUAGUGGUCGUUAAUUGUACUUUGCAGUAGUGCAGGCAAAGGAAGCGUUAGACUCUCUAGCUUCCAUGGAGCUGACUUUGCCGUGGGUACUGAGCGCUGGCAGCAGGGAGUGUGGUGCUGGAGGCCUGGUGUUCCCUGUCUGAUUUACUCCGUGGCGACGCCGGACAGCAGUAGGAGCGAGCCGAAAAAAAUCCUAUCCCACAAACGAAAUGUCGUCUAAAACCUCCAAUAUCUCACCCUGACUUCAUUCAACGUGGCGGUGAGUAGCAGCGUCCGCCGCCUGUCACGGGACUGUCUACCUCCACUAAUGACCGACUUGGUGACGUCUGACGCCUCCAAGUCCCUGAUUUCUGUUACACCUCCGCUCAUCACAUCAUGACCUGCCGUGCCUGUCUUCCUGAAUGGCAGCCGCGAUGUCUUCAUCUUCAACUUGCGCCUCAUUUCCUGCAAACUCAUACGUCUUCUUGAGCGGCGGGUUUGCAAGCGAGAUAAAAAGAAAAGGAAAAAAGGACAAAAGGAAAAAUAAAGAAAAAGAAAAAAACAAGAGAGAAAACGGACAGUAGGAAGCGAACUGAAAUGCUGAAACGAUAUCGAAUGAAAAUAAAUAAAUAAAUACUACUUUUCAAGUGCAAGAUAUUCAAGUGCAAGAUGAGCCUUGAAAUUUUCAUAUUACUAAACAAAUACUUAAAGAAUAAAAAAAAACUUUUGAUCAAUAAGGGCUUCAAUUGUAAACACCCAUUGAAAUCUUGCAAGGCCACAAAAAAAAAGGCUAAACACAAUGAAUCGGAUUAAAAUUGACGAGUCAUUGAAAAAGACAGAUAAAGAAUCACAAAAAAAGAAAAUAAUAAUAAUAAUACUAAAUAAAUAAAUAAAUAAAUAAAUAAGAAAUAUUGAUCAGAUAUUCAACUGUAAGAAGCGGAGUGAAUAUUUUGUGAGGCGGGGUAGGCGGCCGGGAGCUCCAUCCAGUGCGGGGCCAGAACCUUACAAGAGAGGCCCGGGAAAAUGUUGAGGUCCCGCAGUGAAGUGGCUGGCCUUGGAGUGUCCCUGCGAGAGGCCGAGAUAAAAGCUUCCCUUCCACGCUGACUUACGCUGCUGCUAAACUUUUCUCGGCAGUGUUUUCCAGUAAUGCUGCGACACUGGCGGAAGGCGUAGGUACGAGUAUAAUACGAUGCGAUGCUAGUAUGAUACGAGUAUUUACGAAGCUUUUUAUUUGUUUCCAUCCCGAAUUUUCCUAUUAAUUAUGUGACAUUGGUGCUUGAUGACAUACAGUAUAAUAGGAUACAAUGCUUAGUAUGAUAUUAGGAAGCGUUAUUUAUUUAUUUUUUUUUCAUAUUGCGUUGUUUCAUGUCAAGAAUAAUACAUGGAUUUUCCUAUUAAUUCUGGGACACUGCGGCUUGAUGGUUUACCGUAUAAUACGAUAGAAUGUUUAGUAUAAUAUUUCGGAGGCUUUGUGUAUUUGUUUUAAUGCAUUGUUUCAUGUAAGAAAUACCUAAGACAAUAAUUAAUAUCACGUAUAUUUUCCAGCAGACUUGUAGAAUGUUUAACGUUGUAACUGACCAAAAAUAUAAAGUACAGAAAUAACAUACAAGGAAAAUGUGUUUAGUUAUUGUAUUUGUACCUAUAUUCUAGAAAUAGUUAUUCUCGUGUGAAAAUAUCCUUGAGAACCAGACUAAUGAACUGUGUGGCCUUUAAAAACUUGAGACAACAAAGCGUUCCAAAAUAAGGGAUGUAGGCAGAUCAAUGAUUUAAGGGUGAAAACUUUCACAUGCCAUGCAACACAUGUUCACGGGAGACGGUAACAGCUGGGGGCGAAUCUCCGCCUGCCAAGUAGUGGGUAAGGUUAUUACUGUGUGUGU